CGACGUUUGCGGCGGGCCUAACACAUGCAAGUCGAACGGGCAGGGGCAACCCUGUCAGUGGCGCACGGGUGCGUAACACGUGGGUAAUCAACCCUUUGGACUGGGACAACCCGGGGAAACUCGGGCUAAUACCGGAUGUGGCGUGGCGGUCCUCGGACUGCUCCGCGAAAGCUCCGCAAGGGGCACCAGAGGACGAGCCCGCGUCCCAUCAGCUAGUUGGUGAGGUAAUGGCUCACCAAGGCGAAGACGGGUAGCUGGUCUGAGAGGAUGAUCAGCCACACUGGAACUGAGACACGGUCCAGACUCCUACGGGAGGCAGCAGUGGGGAAUAUUGCGCAAUGGGCGAAAGCCUGACGCAGCCACGCCGCGUGUGCGAUGAAGGUCUUCGGAUCGUAAAGCACUGUGGGGGGAGAAGAAACAAGCCGGUGAAGAGCCGGCCCUGACGGUAUCCCCUUAGCAAGCACCGGCUAACUCCGUG
rnacentral:rRNA from 1 species